AUUGAACGCUGGCGGCAGGCCUAACACAUGCAAGUCGAGCGGCAGCGGGAAAGUAGCUUGCUACUUUUGCCGGCGAGCGGCGGACGGGUGAGUAAUGCCUGGGAAAUUGCCCAGUCGAGGGGGAUAACAGUUGGAAACGACUGCUAAUACCGCAUACGCCCUACGGGGGAAAGCAGGGGACCUUCGGGCCUUGCGCGAUUGGAUAUGCCCAGGUGGGAUUAGCUAGUUGGUGAGGUAAUGGCUCACCAAGGCGACGAUCCCUAGCUGGUCUGAGAGGAUGAUCAGCCACACUUGAACUGAGCCACGGUCCAGACUCCUACGGGAGGCAGCAGUGGGGAAUAUUGCACAAUGGGGGAAACCCUGAUGCUGCCAUGCCGCGUGUGUGAAGAAGGCCUUCGGGUUGUAAAGCACUUUCAGCGAGGAGGAAAGGUUGAUGCCUAAUACGUAUCAACUGUGACGUUACUCGCAGAAGAAGCACCGGCUAACUCCGUGCCAGCCGCCGCGGUAA
rnacentral:rRNA from 1 species